UGCAAGUCGAGCGAUGAUUGAAGAUAGCUUGCUAUUUUCAUGAAGAGCGGCGAACGGGUGAGUAACGCGUGGGAAAUCUGCCGAGUAGCGGGGGACAACGUUUGGAAACGAACGCUAAUACCGCAUAACAAUGAGAAUCGCAUGAUUCUUAUUUGAAAGAAGCAAUUGCUUCACUACUUGAUGAUCCCGCGUUGUAUUAGCUAGUUGGUAGUGUAAAGGACUACCAAGGCGAUGAUACAUAGCCGACCUGAGAGGGUGAUCGGCCACACUGGGACUGAGACACGGCCCAGACUCCUACGGGAGGCAGCAGUAGGGAAUCUUCGGCAAUGGGGGCAACCCUGACCGAGCAACGCCGCGUGAGUGAAGAAGGUUUUCGGAUCGUAAAACUCUGUUGUUAGAGAAGAACGUUAAGUAGAGUGGAAAAUUACUUAAGUGACGGUAUCUAACCAGAAAGGGACGGCUAACUACGUGCCAGCAGCCGCGGUAAUACGUAGGUCCCAAGCGUUGUCCGGAUUUAUUGGGCGUAAAGCGAGCGCAGGUGGUUUCUUAAGUCUGAUGUAAAAGGCAGUGGCUCAACCAUUGUGUGCAUUGGAAACUGGGAGACUUGAGUGCAGGAGAGGAGAGUGGAAUUCCAUGUGUAGCGGUGAAAUGCGUAGAUAUAUGGAGGAACACCGGAGGCGAAAGCGGCUCUCUGGCCUGUAACUGACACUGAG
rnacentral:rRNA from 1 species